GUUCAAUCUAAUUUAUGAAUGGGUUAAACAUAGUUUAGAAAUUAAAAACUUGCAAAAAAAAAAAAAACCAUAACACAUAACACAUAACACGUGACUAAAUUUUGGAAUUGAUUUUUGCUGCUUUAAAAAAGAUAUGAAGUAUAAAACAAAACAAACUGCUUAUAUUUAGCUUGUCAGAAUUAUUUUACCACCCACCUACCCACCCACCAAAAAAUAAUUUCUCAUCAUGAUAAACAUGUUUAUGUUAAAUUAUGCAUCAGUGGAUCAAAUCAGAUUAGCCCACUUCUAGUUUCCUCUUUCAGUAAUCCAUUGAACAAAUUAUUGAGUUAAAGUCACCUAAUUUAUCUUCUGUCUCUCUCUCUUCGAACUUUCCUGUUUCCUUUUCUGGUUCACAAGAUACCUCCCCUUUAGCACAGC
rnacentral:lncRNA from 1 species